UAUCUUUCUACUGACAAAUUUUCAGAUGCUGAUUUGAGAUAUUUUUUGACAAAAACAUAUUUAUAUUUUUACUAAAAACGAAACGUUGCGCGGAGCGUUUGCAUGAACCGACGAAUCCGCAUUCGACGGUUCAUGAAACCCGCCCUCCUUCAAUUCUAGCAGACGAUGAACCGUCGAAUCUGUAGCAUCGUCUGAACGGGAUGUAAAAAUUGCAAUAGAUAGUUGGAAGUUUCUCGCAGAAAUCCUGGCAUGACCUUUAGCUGCAUUCUGGUGAAGAGUGCUGUGUGAUCUGGUGGAGUCGAUGUCCUGAACUUGCUUUGUGCCGCAGUCUCUUGUACAUGUACCACCAGAUUCCAGGAAUGUGAUAACUCAACUUUACUUUCAUCAUAGAGGUGUUGUGGUCUAGUGGAUAAGUCAUCCGACUGCACAUCACAAGGUACAGGGUUCAAGUUCUGCUGCAGCACUAAUGUCGGUUGGCGAGAUGUUAAUCUACAUUUGUCACUCUCCACCCAGGUGUUAAAUGGGUACCCGGUAGGAUGCAAAAGUUAAUGUAGUUGGAUGAGCAAGUGUGCGUUUGUAAAAUGGGGACUGGGCGGAAUGCUCACCAGGGAGUGGAGAACGUGCAUACAUUGUGUGCGGGCAAGCCUAAAUCCAAUGACUAGGUAAUGAUAUAUAUAUCUGUAAAGCGCUUAGACACAUCGUUUUAUUGAUGUAUCAUGCGCUAUAUAAAAGCAGAAUAUUAUUAUUAUUACACCUGUAAGAACAUCAAGAUUUCAAGGUUAAGAAUUUCAUAAUUAUAAAAAGCAAA